UACGGGGGGGGCAAGCGUUGUUCGGAAUUACUGGGCGUAAAGGGCGCGUAGGCGGCUCUUCAAGUCAGCCGUGAAAUCUCCAGGCUUAACCUGGAAGGGUCGGUUGAUACUGUCGAGCUAGAGUGUAGAAGAGGCAACUGGAAUUCCGUGUGUAGCGGUGAAAUGCGUAGAUAUACGGAGGAACACCUGCGGCGAAGGCGGGUUGCUGGGCUAACACUGACGCUGAGGCGCGAAAGCUAGGGUAGCAAAC
rnacentral:rRNA from 1 species